rnacentral:misc_RNA from 1 species
AACUGGAGUGGUCCUGGCACUAUGGU